UAAGGCUUUAAGUUAAAUAAACUAAUAGCCUUCAAAGCUGUAAAUAGGGGUAAUCCUUUAAGCCUUAG
rnacentral:tRNA from 1 species